GAUGAACGCUAGCUACAGGCUUAACACAUGCAAGUCGAGGGGCAGCACAAGGUAGCAAUACUGAAGUGGCGACCGGCGCACGGGUGAGUAACACGUAUCCAACCUACCAUUUACUCUUGGAUAGCCUUCUGAAAAAGGAGAUUAAUACAAGAUGGCAUUAUGAGAUUUCAUGAUCACAUAAUUAAAGAAUUUCGGUAAAUGAUGGGGAUGCGUUCCAUUAGAUAGUAGGCGGGGUAACGCCCACUAGUCUACGAUGGAUAGGGGUUCUGAGAGGAAGGUCCCCCAUACUGGUACUGAGACACGGACCAGACUCCUACGGGAGCAGCAGUGA
rnacentral:rRNA from 1 species